CUAACCCACACAUGCAUCGACACGAUGACCUGGGUGCCCUGCGACGCGUUCGGGGGUUGGUCAUUGGGAUGCAUGGAGGCCCAAC
rnacentral:sRNA from 1 species